rnacentral:snRNA from 1 species
GGAUGUGCGGGUGACCUGGCUGCGACAUCUGUCACCCCAUUGAUCUCCAGGGUUGAUUCGGCUGAUCUGGCUGGCUAGGCGGGUGUCCCCUUCCUCCCUCAAUGAUCCAUGUGUGUCCCUCCCAAAGCUGCGUGCUCAGUCCAAGAGGACGACCACCCCCAAUAGAGGAGGACCAUUCCUCGGUCAAGGGUAUACGAGUAGCUACACUCCCCUGCUAGAACCUCCAAACAAAGUGUCAAGAAAAUACUAAUAAUUAAAUAUUUUUAAAUAUCUCUAUGCAUUUUCUCAAAAUGAUCAUUCUUUUCUAA